rnacentral:siRNA from 1 species
AUUACAUGUUGUGGUUUCGGCCU